rnacentral:rRNA from 1 species
UACAGAGGUCUCAAGCGUUGUUCGGAAUUAUUGGGCGUAAAGGGCGCGUAGGCGGUGCGGUAAGUCACCUGUGAAACCUCUGGGCUCAACUCAGAGCCUGCAGGCGAAACUGCCGUGCUGGAGUGUGGGAGAGGUGCGUGGAAUUCCCGGUGUAGCGGUGAAAUGCGUAGAUAUCGUCUGGAACGCCGAGGGUGAAAACAGCUCGCUGGGGCCGCGCUGACGCUGAGACACGAAAGCCAGGGGAGCGAACGGG